rnacentral:tRNA from 1 species
GCUCCAUUCGGCUCAGUUGGUAGAGCGUCAGUCUCAUAAUAUGAAGGUCGCCAGUUCGAGCCUGGCAGGGAGCA